UGGGCGUAAAGCGUCUGUAGGCGGCGAAGUAAGUAGAGAGUUAAAUCACGGGGCCCAACCCCGUGGCCGUUCUCUAAACUGCUUUGCUAGAGGUAAACAGGGGUGACUGGAAUUUCUGGUGUAGGGGUAAAAUCCGUUGAUAUCAGAAGGAACGCUAAAAGCGAAGGCAGGUCACUGGGUUUUUCUGACGCUGAGAGACGAAAGCGUGGGUAGCAAACAGGAUUAGAUACCCUGGUAGUCCACGCCGUAAACUAUGAGUACUUGAUGUUAGGGGUAAAUUCCCCUAGUGUCGAAGCUAACGCGUUAAGUACUCCGCCUGAGGACUACGGUCGCAAGACUAAAACUCAAAGGAAUAGACGGGGACCCGCACAAGCGGUGGAGCAUGUUGUUUAAUUCGAUACAACACGAGGAACCUUACCCAGACUUGACAUCCCAAGAAUCUUUCAGAAAUGAGAGAGUGCCGCAAGGAACUUGGUGACAGGCGCUGCAUGGUUGUCGUCAGCUCGUGCUUUGAAGUGUUCGGUUAAGUCCGUAAACGAGCGCAACCCAUGUUCUGUGUUACAUUUGUCACAGAAGACUGCCCUGGUUAACAGGGAGGAAGGUGUGGAUGACGUCAAAUCAGCAUGGCCCUUAUGUCUGGGGCUACUAACAUGCUACAAUGGGGUGUACAAUGCGUAGCCAAGGAGCAAUCCGGAGCCAAUCGCAUCAAAGCACCUCUCAGUUCGGAUUGGGGGCUGCAACUCGACCCCAUGAAGUUGGAAUCGCUAGUA
rnacentral:rRNA from 1 species